GUCUGUGGCCAUGCCACCCUGAACAAGCCUGAUGUCUGAUCUCGGAAGCUGAGCAGGGUCGGGCCUGGUUAGUACUUGGGUGGGAGACCACCUAGGAAGACCAGGUGCUGUAGGCA
rnacentral:rRNA from 1 species